UCGGGAAUUUUGGGCAAUGGGCGAAAGCCUGACCCAGCAACGCCGCGUGAAGGAUGAAGUAUUUCGGUAUGUAAACUUCGAAAGAAUAGGAAGAAUAAAUGACGGUACUAUUUAUAAGGUCCGGCUAACUACGUGCCAGCAGCCGCGGUAAUACGUAGGGACCAAGCGUUGUUCGGAUUUACUGGGCGUAAAGGGCGCGUAGGCGGCAAUUCAAGUCAUCUGUGAAAUCUCCGGGCUUAACUCGGAACGGUCAGAUGAUACUGCUUUGCUAGAGUGCAGAAGGGGCAAUCGGAAUUCUUGGUGUAGCGGUGAAAUGCGUAGAUAUCGGAAGGAACACCAGUGGCGAAGGCGACCACCUGGACUGAUACUGACACUGAGGUGCGAAAGCGUGGGGAGCAAACAGGAUUAGAUACCCAAGUAGUCCCUGAGCGGGCUGGCAAGGCGCAU
rnacentral:rRNA from 1 species